rnacentral:rRNA from 1 species
UUUUUGUGUUUAAUAUAAAGUCUAAUCUGCCCACUGAUAAUUUAUUAAAGGGCUGCAGUAUUUUGACUGUACAAAGGUAGCAUAAUCAUUUGUCUCUUAAUUGGUGACUAGUAUGAAAGAUUGGAUGAAAUAUAGACUGUCUCAUUAUAAUGAAUAAAAUUUAAUUUUUUAGUAAAAAAGCUAAAAUAGUUUUAAAAGACGAGAAGACCCUAUAGAGUUUAAUAAUUAUUUUUAUAUAGAAUAAAAUGUAAAAAUUUAAAUUUAAAUGAAAUUAAUUAUUUUGUUGGGGUGAUAGAAAAAUAAAAUUAACUUUUUUUAAAGAUAUACAUUAAUAAAUGAAUAAGUGAUCCAUUAAUAAUGAUUAUAAGAAAAAAUUACCUUAGGGAUAACAGCGUAAUUUUUUUUUUUAGGCCAAAUAAGAAAAAGAGUUUGCGACCUCGAUGUUGGAUUAAGAUAAAAUUUAAAUGUAAAAGUUUAAAGUUUUGAUCUGUUCGAUCAUUAAAA